UAAGAGCGACGGGCGAUGUGUACAUAUUUUAGAGCUAAAAUCAAAUUAUUAAUCUUUAUAAUUUUACUAUCAAAUCCAAUUUCAUUAAAUUUUUCAUAUUUAAAUCCACAUAAAUAAAUUUUAUUGUAACUCAUUUAUACUUAAAAAUAAACUACACCUUGAUUUGAUAUUAAUUUUUAUAUAAAUUAUAGAAAAUUAUUAUUCUUAUAAAAUAUUCUAAUAACAACGAUAUAUAAAUUGAAUUACAAUUUUAAGUAAGGUACAUCGCGGAUUAUCGAUUACAAAACAAGUUCCUCUGAAUAGACUAAAAUACCGCCAAAUUUUUUAAGUUUCAAGAAUAUAUCUAAUACUACUCAAAUAAAUUUAUAUUUAUUUUAAAUAAUAGGGUAUCUAAUCCUAGUUUA
rnacentral:rRNA from 1 species